rnacentral:lncRNA from 1 species
ACUGUCCGAGAAGGGAGUGGACACAAGAGAAACUCCAGGAACGUCAGCGGAUUAAAUAAAAAGGGGGCUGGUAGAGUCCACUGAGGAGGUAUUGACAUUCAUAUUAGAAGUCAUGAAUAAAAAACCAGUUGAAAUAAAAAACAGUCUCAGGAAAGAGGCUAAAGUUGAAUCAGAACCCACAUGCAAAAUAUACAACACUUAUAACAGGGAUAGAGUUACCCUCCUUAUUCACGACCGGAGAAGAACAGCCUUCAAUCGCUAGAUAAAACCCUAGGUCCAACCACCGAGAACCGUAGGGUUUGGAAACUUACCGGAAUAGGGUCAGGGACGUCGGAAAAUCACCCAAAACAUCCACCGAGUGAGGAUCGAGCCAUCGGAUAGCAGUAAAACCCUAGGAGGGUCAGGGACGUCGGAAAAUCACCCAAAACAUCCACCGAGUGAGGAUCGAGCUAUCGGAUAGCAGUAAAACCCUAGGUUCAACCACCAGAAACCCUAGAAUCUGAAAAGUCACCGGAAAAAGGUCAGGGAUGUCGGAAAAUCACCCAAAACAUCCACUGAGUGAAGAUCGAAGCAUCAAACAACAGUAAAAGUUCCGAUUAUUCGUUGAAUAUACAUCGUUCUCUCGGUAAACAAAAAUUCUCACAAAUAUCCAAAAAAUUCCUUCAAUAAAACUUCCAACACGAUCGAUAACAAGUAACAGAGAAGAAUCCGAGGAUCAUCCCGCUCUGAUACCAUGAAAACGUACAGAUUGAAGGCAAAAUAAUGAAGGACACAGUGAAGGAAAGAGAGAGAAGUUGAGAGAGAAGUUGGUAGAACUCUCUGGAAUAACCGAGAGUGAAAAU